rnacentral:rRNA from 1 species
AUUGAACGCUGGCGGCAUGCCUUACACAUGCAAGUCGAACGGCAGCGGGCCUUCGGGUGCCGGCGAGUGGCGAACGGGUGAGUAAUGCAUCGGAACGUGCCAUUGAGUGGGGGAUAACGUAGCGAAAGUUGCGCUAAUACCGCAUAUUCUGUGAGCAGGAAAGCAGGGGACCGCAAGGCCUUGCGCUCUUUGAGCGGCCGAUGUCAGAUUAGCUAGUUGGUGAGGUAAAGGCUUACCAAGGCGACGAUCUGUAGCGGGUCUGAGAGGAUGAUCCGCCACACUGGAACUGAGACACGGUCCAGACUCCUACGGGAGGCAGCAGUGGGGAAUUUUGGACAAUGGGGGCGAACCCUGAUCCAGCCAUGCCGCGUGAGUGAAGAAGGCC